AUUGAACGCUGGCGGCAGGCCUAACACAUGCAAGUCGAGCGAGCGGCGGACGGGUGAGUAAUGUCUGGGAAACUGCCUGAUGGAGGGGGAUAACUACUGGAAACGGUAGCUAAUACCGCAUACCAUCAGAUGUGCCAAGAUGGGAUUAGCUAGUAGGUGGGGUAACGGCUCACCUAGGCGACGAUACCUAGCUGGUCUGAGAGGAUGACCAGCCACACUGGAACUGAGACACGGUCCAGACUCUUUCGGGAGGCAGCAUUGGGGAAUAUUGCACAAUGGGCGCAAGCCUGAUGCAGCCAGGCCGGGGGUGUGAAGAGGGCUUUCGGGUUGUAAAGCACUUGCAGCGGGGAGGCGUUACCCGCAGAAGAAGCACCGGCUAACUCCGUGCCAGCAGCCGCGGUAAUAC
rnacentral:rRNA from 1 species